rnacentral:rRNA from 1 species
GACAGAGGCCUCGAGCGUUAGGCGGAAUCACUGGGCUUAAAGCGUGUGUAGGCGGAUCGUUAAGUACCUUGUGAAAUCCCACGGCUCAACCGUGGAACGGCUGGGUAUACUGGCGGUCUUGGGCCAUUCGAGGGGCGACUGGAACAAGCGGUGGAGCGGUGAAAUGCGUAGAAUGAUCGCUUGGAACGCCGGAAGGUGAAAACAGGUCGCUGGGGAUGUGCCGACGCUGAGACACGAAAGCCAGGGGAGCAAACGGG